UUCCUACGGGAGGCUGCAGUGGGGAAUAUUGCACAAUGGGCGAAAGCCUGAUGCAGCAACGCCGCGUGAAGGAUGAAGGCCUUUGGGUCGUAAACUUCUGUCCUUGGGGAAGAAAAAAAUGACGGUACCCCUGGAGGAAGUCCCGGCUAACUACGUGCCAGCAGCCGCGGUAAUACGUAGGGGGCGAGCGUUAUCCGGAAUUAUUGGGCGUAAAGAGUACGUAGGUGGUUUUUUAAGCGCAGGGUUUAAGGCGAUGGCUCAACUGUCGUUCGCCCUGUGAACUGGAAGACUUGAGUACAGGAGAGGAAAGCGGAAUUCCUAGUGUAGCGGUGAAAUGCAUAGAUAUUAGGAGGAACACCAGUGGCGAAGGCGGCUUUCUGGACUGUAACUGACACUGAGGUACGAAAGCGUGGGGAGCAAACAGGAUUAGAUACCCGUGUAGUC
rnacentral:rRNA from 1 species